rnacentral:rRNA from 1 species
GGCUACACACGUGCUACAAUGGGUAGUACAGAGAGUCGCAAAGCCGUGAGGUGGAGCUAAUCUCAGAAAACUAUUCUUAGUUCGGAUUGUACUCUGCAACUCGAGUACAUGAAGUUGGAAUCGCUAGUAAUCGCGAAUCAGCAAUGUCGCGGUGAAUACGUUCUCGGGUCUUGUACACACCGCCCGUCACACCACGAGAGUUGGUUGCACCUGAAGUAGCAGGCCUAACCGUAAGGAGGGAUGCUCCGAGGGUGUGAUUAGCGAUUGGGGUGAAGUCGUAACAAGGUAUCCGUACGGGAACGU